rnacentral:lncRNA from 1 species
GUACGUUUUUACAUGCGCUUUCCAGAGCCUUGGAGGAAACGAACGGGAGACAAACCGUGGUGCUACUGGGCUCCUGAGCCUUCAGAAUUCAUUUCUGCCGGGAAGAAAUGUUUUUCUCAUGACACAAAACUCAGAAGAGCUGCAGAACAGAAAACGUGUGAGUGUCUGUCAUCUGAGCACAGUCUGACAGAAAUGGCUCUCCCCUCCUCUUCUGGGGAGAAAGGGCCAGCUCACCUGCAAUUACAGAAGGAUCGCAGACCAGGAGCAGACUGUCAGGGGACUCUGGCCAUGUCUGCACACAUUUUUGGUUGUCAUGCUAGAAGAGGGAAGCCACCAGCAUCCAGGAGGCAGAGACCAGCGAUGCUGCUAAACGUCUGUGCGCAGGACGGCCCACAGCAAAGCAUCAGCUGUGCUGGGCUUGAGAAGUCUUGCUUAAAUGAGGAUGCUCCGAGUUCAUGCGUCACAGAGCAUCUUAUCUAUGAUUUUUGUUCAGGAGGAAAUUGAAGAAGGGACAGAACACAAAACAGCCUCAUUGCUCUGUUGAUUAACAAGGGGAGCUGGGCCUCCGAACCCCUGACCCCACUCUUCGGACUUGGUGCAAGAGAGAAAGGGAGCUGGACGUUCAGGAGAGGUCUAGGCAGACGUUGGCCAAGUGUGGAGUACUGGCUUUCGUAUAACUUAGAUAUCAGCUACCAAUAGAAAAAAACAGAUUCAAGGAUUAAUCAAAGCCUAAUAAAAUCCAUUUCAAACCACUGCAGUGCAGGGUCGAG